AAUUUUAGUUGUUUUUUUUUUUUUCUUAAAGGCGCGAAGGAAUAGAAUCAGUAAAACGACGGCGCUGAAUAACUAGGGAUUUCCAAUUCUCCAUUCAUACAAAGCUCAACCGUUGAUUUAAAAAAUCUCAACCUUCCAAGCCCCAAACAUAGCGUAGAAAACAAGAAAAAAAAAGAUUCCAUUGCAGAAUUAUUUAAAAAAAGGAAGUAGAAAACGCCUUCGAGAAGGAGAAGAGGAAGAGGAAGAGGAAGAGAUCGAAGCUGAAGAAACUCCCUCACUCGGUAAAUAAUCAACUCUUAUUUUAUAUCUUCAUCAAUUUCUCCUUUUAAAUUAUAUUUGGCGUACCGAGUUUUGUAAAUUUCUAUUUAUCAAGUGGACAGUCCCGCGUUCACCGACACAGUGGUGGGUGCGAGCUCAGUUUCGACACAUCGACAGGGUCAAUCGCCCUCACUCUCCUCGUACUCGUCUUUUUUUUUUAAUAUUAAGUUGGUUAUUAGUUUUCCUUGUCGAGGUCAAUUUACUCUUAUUCGAGCUUUUGGCAUGUCGCGUAAUCUAUUUUUGUUACCGUGUUUGGAUUUGGCUCUGUAAAUCAGUUAAUAGCCAUGCUCUCUGUAGUGUAUUUUAUUUUUUAUUUUUAACUUUGUUGACAUGCAGAAAUUGUGAUUUCAGGUGUUGAUUCAGCCUUUCAUUUACAUUCACAACUAUAUAGCAGUGAACAGAACGCUAGUUGAUAGAGAAUUAGAGGUUUAAUUUAGUUGAUAAUACCUUACUCUAAUGGUUACAAUAUUGAUAGCGUUGUCUUUUUUAAAGAAAAUUGAGAUAGGCAAUUUUUUUAUUUGUUUUGAAUGAAUUGUGUGUUUACAAGUUUAGCGGUAACUCUUUUUCCCCCCCGAACUAGAUGCUUUUUACAAUGUGAUGGACGGAUGAUGUGCUAUGAUAUGUUAUGCAGUCGUCGAGGAGAGAGAAGAUACACUUUGUUGUGAAAAUAAUGGAAGUUUUUGAGUGGUUUAAAACACAUGUUAUUGAUAAAAAGCCGGAUCCUAGCAUUGACCAUCUUGAGCUUGCAAGUGUUACUGAUAUCAUUCUACUUGUGCAUGUUAUGUUUGCCGGUGAAAAAAAAGAAAAGGAAAGAAAUCCAGAAUGCAAUUAUGGAAAGAGAUGUCUUCCUUAAUAUUUUAGCAUGAUGAUGAUAAUUUUAUUUUCAUCGUGUCAUGUAUUUCAGUAUUUGCAUUAUAUUUGAUAGUGAAGUUGUUAACUAACAACCAAUGAAUCAUUGAAUUCUAUUCACUCAACAAGGACCAUAAUUCCCACUGUCUUUGGGGUUGGUAGCUGUAGAUAUCUUAUAGAGCAUUGGUUAUGCACGUGGGAUGGGUUUGUGUGCGUGCGAGCACUUCUCACAACUUUGAAACCCUUCGAAGUGGUGCUUACUCUUAUCACCUGGUGGAAGGGUGAAGGAUGAGACACCUUCCAUUUAACCAAUGCUGGUCUUUUUGUAAGCAAACUCUGAAUUUUCAUAAUCUGCUCUGCUGUGCAAUUGCUUGAAUUAAUGGAUAGCUAUGCUAAGACAUGCCCUCUAUGGUUAAGGAUUGUGCCGACUAUUUCAUGAACAUGUUGUUCUACCUUUAGAAACCCCUCACCUCCUAUUCGUGAACUGAUCCUAGUCAAAGUAUGUUUAUUGUGGAGGAGGUUUUCACAGAAAUGAAAGAAGUGUGAACCAGUCCAGUUGGGGAAAAUUUGAAGCUGCUGAUUGGCAGCUUGGUUCAUGUGCAGCAAAAGCCUUUUAAGAUUCACCCAAAAAAAUGCCAAUUCCCAUCCUUGAUAAAACAUCAAUAAAGAUCCCUAUGAAUAUUUGUUAUCAUUAGAUUUUGAGUGAAUAUUGCUUGGCCAUGCAUCUGAAUGACAUGUAUUAAAUAUACUAAAUCAAAAUGGUAGCUUCUAGUUUCCUUCCAAUAGGAUCUAUAUUGAGUUUUGAUGAUUUCUUCUCUGGGAUUCCAGGUUCAAAUAAAAUCAAUGGGAUUGUAGUAGCACUACCAAUUGACAUGUCCUCCAGUAAGAGUGACAGCUAAACAAGGAUUGGGUGAUCACAUGCUCGAUUUUAAAUGAAUGCCAGAUGAUGUGGGUGUCUUCACUACUAGGUCUUACUCGUUCUCUGUCAUUCUGCACCUGUUUUGUUAUUGAUGGCGUAACUUUUCCAUGAUUAAUUGAAUCAAAUUACUACAAUAUAAUUUCAAGCAGUAGCGUGGGUCUCUUCAAGGUUUACCUAUCAUCUAUUUAACAAGAUGCUGACAGCUUCGUCUUCAUUACAUUUUUCAUGUUGAAAAUCAGAUGAACUGCUGUAAACUACUGUUGCAUUCUAAUAUAUGAGAGAGAAAAUGAGUUGUUUGAAUUA